UAAAGUAUAGUUUAUAAAAAAUAUUAGUUUGUCGUACUGAAGAAAUUGAUUACUUUAU
rnacentral:tRNA from 1 species